UUUUGUGUUUAGGUGUGGAUGAGGAAAACGGACAUAUGGACUGGAUUUUUUUUUUUAAAUGAAAAAGGAAAACGUCCGUUUUCAAACAUAGCCGUUCAAAAUGAGUGGAAGUGGAGAUGGAUUUCAAACUAACCGUAACGGCCAACAGGUUAACCCACAAUCAAUUGCAAGUGGAGAUCAGGAACCUGCUCAUCAACCAGCUAACCGAAGAGCUAACCGAAGAGCUAACCGACGAGCUAACCGACCAGCUAACCGACCAGCUAACCGACCAGCUAACGAAGAUAUCGGUGGACUCCGGGGCUUCGCGAACGAUCUUUAUCUUGCUCUUCGUGAUAUUUAUUUGUUUCUGGAUAGGCUAAUAGCUUCAGUACUGGAACAAUAUGACAAUUACCUUUACAAUGACACUGACACUGACGAUGACACUGACGAUGACGAUGACAAUGACAACAAUGUCAAUGUUCAAAAUAUUAAUGUAAGGAAUUUAAUGCUAAUGCUGACAACAAUGAACAGCAUGAGGAUCAUAAUGCUGUGGUUGUUGUUGGCAUUGAAAAUGAGGAUUCGGAUGAGGCAUUUGAAGACUGUGUGGAUGUUGACCAGCACAUCCCAGAAGAGGACCCUCAGCCAGGUGUAUCCAGGAGGAGGUCUAGAGAGAUGGAUGAAGAAGAAGAUGUGGAACCAAACAAAAGAAUCAGAUGGAGCGAGGAGUUUUCUGAUGAUGACUCUGACUUCUUCUCUGCUUGUGACACUGAUAGCGAGAGCUGUCCUCGUGUAGGUAAUAUUGCCGAUGAGGACAUCAGUCAGCAGUCAACAGAAGAAGAACCGCAGCCUGGUGGAUCCACGAAAAGGUCCAGAGAGGAAGAUGUUGAUGAAGAAGAGCGUGAUAGCAAAAAAUCCAGGCUUGCACACUCUGAUUCGGGGACCAGCUCAGCUGUGUACGACCACUCUGAGAGCAGCAGUGAUGAACUUUUUGAAGAUGCACACGAAGAGCUUGGCAACCAUGAAGGUGGAGGCUCGAGGAAGUGUUCCCGAGAGGAUUUUGAGGAAGAAGAGGAAUACUUGCCUGUAUGCAAAUUUCGGAGGUGUUCAACUGAGUCCAGCAGCAGCAGUGAUGAAGACUAACACCAUUUCGACGGGUUUCUUCAGUAUCCUUUUAGUAGGCUGAUGGCCUACUCAGGUGACCCUGAAUCCUCCAUGCUGCAAUAAGCUGGGCAUACACUGUGCUGCAAUUUUUUCAGUCGCGUUAUUCAGCUCCUGGUCAAACUGUACGAUUGACUCACAGGGAUGAGAAGUUUGUGCCUCCAUCGCUCGUGUCCAGAUCACACGCCGCACCACCGUUCUGCUCCGUCUUUUCACACUCAUUUCUGCGUUUGCGCGUGCGCAGUGUAAGACGCUGCGGUGACGCCCUCAGGACGGCCCACAGGAUUUCAAACAGAGCUCCUGACCCAUGCCAAGCUGGCUCUCUAGGAAGACAA
ensembl:lncRNA